rnacentral:lncRNA from 10 species
UGUCUGUAGGCUCCAUCUCCUUGGAACUGGGAAAACAAAGCAUGAGGUGGUAUUUGCAGUUGCAGAGAGUCAUGAAAGGUAGGGGGAAGAAGUUUCUAACCCUGAGGACUGAGAAGAGAUGACCAGAGAAGCCCAGCAUCUGGGUCAUUGGUGACAUUCGUUUCUUCACAGUGAGGCAAUAAGGUCUUCGGCUCUGGAGCCAGACCACCUGGGUUCCAAUCACCUCUUUCCUUUUCCUCUUUUUCUUCUCAUUCCUUCAAAGCCGAGGAUGAAGGAAUGAGAAGAAAAAGAGGAAGAGGAAAGAGAGAAUGGAAAGAGGGAAAGGCCACCUGAGCUCAAGGCUCCAACCUGCACCAAGCUGGGGGAUGGGCAGGAAGAGACACAAGGGUCGGGACCCCAGGGGCUUAAGAGAGGGAACAGAGGACAGCCAGCUGCAGAGGAGCCCAGUCCUACUGACGGAUGCACAAGGAGGCCAAUGGCAUCAGAGAAGCCCGAAUGGGUUGCUUGGAGGUGAGUUCUGAGGUGGACUGAGACAGGGGGUAGGGCUUGGCAGAAGGUGCCUUGCAUGAUUAGGUCUCCACAGGUUCCAGGGGGAGCUGGCACCCUGAGUAGUGUCCUCUUCUGAAGCUACCCACACUCCCACCUCUUUUUGCCAGCCUUUUAUUAGGCAUCCUUCAAGCCCAAGCACUGCCUCCUCUGGGAAGCCCUCUCAUACUGCCCCCAGCCUGCUUUAGGAGUUCUGUUCUGGGCACCCUGAACAUUCUGUGCUGAGUCUGAUGUGACAUCGAAAACCCAGUCUUUAUGCCUUGAUUAUUCUCUUGAAGUCAGUGGCAGUGACUUAUUUAUUUCUGUGUCUCUGGGGUAUAGCACAAGUCUAGGCAAUAGUAGGGGCCAAAAUGUCUUUGAUGAGUCAAUUGCCAUCAGCCUCUUCCUUUGUGCCAAGAGGAGCACCAUUAGCAGCCCAAGGCUGGGAGUUUGGCUACUCUGGAGCCAGAAAAGGGCGCGAGGACAGCCCUCCUGGCCAGAAAGAACACCCAGGGAGGCCUGCCGCUGAUGACUAAAGUUCUCCCAUUAGCCCAUCUUGUUAGGUUACGGCUGAGUGGUGUCAUGAAAGGACACAGACAGGCAGGCCAGAAGUAAUGAGUUCCAGCUCUGCCCUGACCCACUAACCGGCUAGGGGAUCUUAGGCUGGGUAUUGCCUCUCUUUGGCCUCAGUUUCCCCAAUAUGCUGAGGCUCUUGAACAGGAUGCAUUCUCAGGUCCUGCUGAGGCUGUGGCCUACAUUGAACUGUGCCAGCCCUGAGGUCAUACCUUAGCUCCUCUGAGAGACUUCCCUACCCAGUCACAACUGAGACUGGGCUGAGAGGACAGGG